rfam:Ovis aries breed Texel chromosome 9, whole genome shotgun sequence.
UCCCUGGUGGUCCAGUGGUUAGGACUCUGCACUUUAACUGCAGGGGACCUGGGUGUGAUCCCUGGUCCAGGAA